GUGCAUUUUAAUGGUUACCAGGUUGCCACGUAUUUGAAGUGGUGUGAGAGCUACUCGUUUGGAACGGUUGUGGAUUUUCAAACAGGAAAAUCAAAAGGCCCAAAGAGACAGCUCACUGUUUUGGGUCUAGUUCAUCUGAUAAGGGAUCAAAAAAUACAACUUGUAUGUGAACUUGUGCAAAUGUGUGAAACAAGGUGACAGGGCAGAA
rnacentral:lncRNA from 1 species